CCGAAAAAAAUGACAUUUCACAUUUCCCUUAUUGUGAGUUUCGGACGGAAAAUUUUCCACUUCGAAAAAUUUCCCCCUAUUGUGAACUUUUUUUUCGGGUGGAACUUUAAGUCUUUGACAACUCUUUCUUUCACUCAAAAUUUGGCGGCGGAAAAGGACAACUUUGGCGAAAAAUGAGUAAAACAACAAAAAAGGUGUUUGUUGUGUGAUGGCGAUAUAAUGUUGACAUGUGUUCCAUCUACACAUCCUAUUAUGCUUGGCAUAUUGAAUUUCAUGAAGAAAUCUUGGCUGAUUCUUCUACAUUCGUUUUGUGUUGGCCACUUUAUCCAUUCUGGACAAAGUCUCUCCUCCAACACGUUCAACACUUCAGCCAUAAUAAGGCUUACAGAUGGUUGUGCCAACCCAACUUCAUGGUCCUUCCCAACUCCCUUUUGGUACCCGCCCUCCGCAAGGAAACGUAAGGUGGCUGCAAGUUUUAUAAUUGGGGGCACACCAAAUUUUUGUUUUACUGCGGGCAAGGAACUGGAAAGAACAUCCAACAAAUAUUUGAAGGCUUCUUUAUUUACUCGAUAGUGUUGAUGAAAUCUGAAAAAAAAGUUUGAUUCGUAAUCUACAUUUAUAUUCACAAAUUCUUUACAUGAAACUUAUUACUUACAAUGGCUCACGCAACUCCAAAGGGUUUGAAGAAUCUCUGAGUUGUCUUCUGAUUGAUUUUUGUUUUUGUUUUUCUUCCUCAUCAUUAAUCAUUUCCCUCAGGGCUAUGCUAAACAUGUUGCUAAAGUAAAAUAUAAAAACAAUUCUAAACAAUUUGUGUAAUAAAAUAUCAUACUGUUCAAGUUCAUACCUUUUGAUGAGAGCAAAUAAAGGCUACGGCAGAAUCACAAAAAACAAUUUUUAUUUGUUUUAUUUACUUAUUUUCAAGUAUAUUUAUUUUUAUGAAUUAAAGACGGAAUCACGGAAUGCACGGAUAUUGUUUACUUUUUUAAAAAUUUUAAUUCACACUUCACUCAUCUGUCAAAAAUCUGUUUAGCCGUGUUCGAAGUGAUGUAGUUCUGAAUUGCUCCGGUUUUUUUUGUUUUGGUUAUGGAUACCGUCGUUUGUUUUUUUUUUCUUGAAAAAUUACUUCUAACAUACAAAAAAUAUUUAAUAAAGUUUUUAACUCAACAAAUUGUCAUUUUCAUUCCAAAAGGGGUUGAAAAUAAUAAUUUAUUUGCAAAACUAGAACACCGUCCUAUUGUAAUUUUUUCUGGGAUUUGUUCAGAUAUUUCGUUCAGCUUGUAUUUGCCUUUUCAAUGAACGCUUCUUUUUUUCGAAAUGUCACCUCUAAUUCGAAGUGAAAAUUCAUUCGGGUGGAACUCACAAUAGCUUUAAAAAUUCCGGGGGAACAAUAAUUUUUCGGGUGAAAUAUUUUCCUGGUGAAACUAACAAUAGGGGUGAUUAAGUUUAUUUAAAGUAUACUAACAUUUUCGCAGAAACAAUACUUUGCAAAUUCGAAAUUCAACACAAUAAACACAAUUAGCCUUAUCACAGGCCCCUUCGUAAUAGAUUCGUAGUACGAACCCCGAAUAAUUGUAUCAUUGAUCCCGUCCGCGUCGUCGUACUAAAAAAAUUUGCUACGAAAUUCGGAGUUCUUGAAAAUUGGUAUCACUAGCCCUGAAUGAAUAGGAAGUUUGGCAGUUUUCUCUACGAACAAUUAUUUUGUUUGGAGUUUUUAAAACGAACAAAAAAUUAAGCUUGCGAAGAUAAAUUAAAUAAAAAUAAAAUAUAUGAAAAGAAUCAUGGCAAAUAAAGUUAUCACAAAUAAAAUUCAAUUCGAAAGGCUUUAUAAAAAGUCUUCAAGAAAAACUUGAAAUUGCCCAAGGAUUUUCAAAAAUCCCUAAGGAGGAAGUGAAUUCGUUUUGGGAGGCAGUAAAAAUAGA